GUAAGUGCUUUCAGAAUUCUCACGUACGCAAUGAUAAUUAUGUUAUAAUUUCAGGUUUUAAUAAGAAAAAUGGAAAAGUGUUUAAAGAUAAAAGCAGCUGCGGUUUUUUGGGCAGUGUAUGUAUGAAGACAGUUCAGAACCAUGCAUUUUAAGUCCACAACCUGCAUGAUCUGCGAACUGGAGCCUGCCUUCUUCCAUCGACUUGAAGGGUGGGAGUCAUGUCUUCUUCAAUCUGCAACCUACACGACCAAAAGGCCGGGACACAUGUCUUCUUCCAUCUGCAACGUGCCGGAGGCAACGGUGAGCCUAUCUCAUAGAUGUUAAAAUGGUAAAUGGCUACUUUAUGCUGUGGCAAAACAAAAACAUCAACUUAGCAAUAGAACCAGCAACAACAGAAUCUUACAAAAAAAAUUGAUCGAUGAAAACUAAUUUUGGAUUAAAGUUCGACGGAAACAACCACUUGCAUACCAGAGGUCUGCCAUGGUUCCUCGGUUCGUCUCGGGAUUUUGACAAACCUCUGAUGGAUGAGAAUGCAUUUUAUAAGGUCUAGUAAAAGUUUAGAUUCAAACUGAAAAUGUGAAAUCUUCUUUAACACCCAAAUAAAGAGACAAUAUAUACGUGUUUUUGCAAAAGCCAGUGUCAAGUAUGAAGAAAGAAGAUCUUUGUAUUUCAAAACUUAGCAGCAAGAAAUUAAUCUGACAGCAUGUGAUUCUAACAGAGGCUGCAUGGGCUUUUAAUACUUCAAGGUGGUGUGUUAUAUAAAUGGAUGUAUACAUGGUUGACGGUAUUUGUUUAACACCAUAAUUCAUUACGUACAUGAGAAAUGAAACAGUCAAACCUGUUCUUAAGAUACCUGUGAACACUGACCACCUGUAUUUAAGAAAACAUUACUUUAAUAAUGUCCGUUUUUCAUAACUGAAGAUGUGGAUAAAGACCACCUGCAAAAAUAUCCUCCUUCAGCUCUACAAAACAUGGUCUACCGAUACAAGAACCAGCUUAUACCAAAGUUCCAUCUUGGUGGUGGCUCUUUUCUCCUUUCCCAGACUAAAUAUAUACUUUAGUCGUUGUAGUGAAUAGAAGCAUAAUAAAAUGUAGUCAUAUCUUGGACACGAUGAGAAAUCCCGGUGAAUUUUCUGUGAUUUUUUUUCCAUCUUGGCUCCUCUUACACUGACGAUUUUUUAAAAUUCCAAAUCGGAUAUUUACUCUUUACAACGGACAGGCAAAAUGCUCGGCAACAAAGUAUUAAUCAUAAAAUGCGUUUGUGUAACAGAACAACUACAGUUAGAAACUGUUUAAACCGUCCGUCGUAAGGUUUGAACUGGGGGUAUUUACGUAAUGUUUCACCUACCGAAAAUAGUUCCUUUCUAUUACAGUGUAAGCGGGGCCAGCAAUUCAUUAAUUUUCGAGUAACAUCAUUUAAUACCAUUAACGAAGGAAUGAGUGUAACAUUACCUGUGUAAAUAAUCAUCUUAGUUAUUUUAUGGUGCAUGAGAAUCAUCUAUCAUUUUAUGUAUGUUCAAAAAUAUUGGUAUUUGAAUUUCUGUACAGCGACGCAGAUACGGCCAUUUUGUAUAACUGAUAAUAUUUUUGUCACUUUUUAACAUCUUCACAUAUGAGUACAUGCAAAGAGCGAGUGAUACAUUCUUUGAAAAAAGAUCAAAAAUGUGCUUUUCUAGGGACCUUCCAAAAAGGGUACUGAGCAGCGACUUUCCAUAACUUAUAAAAUAUUAAAGUCAAUGAAACUUUAAGCGGUUGCCUUUGUUAAAUAUCUUUUUUGUUACAAAAGGGGGUUCUGCAUGACUGGUCGCUAGAAAAAUACAGUUUUGGCCAAAUCAUAAAUAAAUACUGCAGUUCCGAAUUACGGGUAUAUUAAAUUUUGUACCAAGCAGACGACCGUAGAAAACAUCCGUUUCUUGUCGUCUUGCUGAAACAAAUUUAAUGCGGAGAAUACAGGACCGGUGAAAUUUCAUAUUUUAGUGUUAAUCUGUUUUGUCAUUAGUGUAACAAUAAGCAUGAUUGAAUGAAUUUUGUCAGUAAUGUUAAAAUGACGUCAUGGUAUAAAUGGCGUAGUGAAUCUAUCGUUAUGUCGUAAGAACACACAUUUUAAAACUUUAUACAACUGAAAGAUAAAUGCUAUGAAAGACUCGUACUAAUUCUAGAUCUAAAAAUUAAAACAAAUUCAGUUUCAUUCUAGUACAGCUUCUCCAGAUAUAUACAUUUGUAAUCUGAUACAUUUUUAGUGCUGAUACUUUUAGGGCAUACACACAGGACUGUUGACUGAAAAUUUGGUAUCGAUGUAUCAGCUGAUACAUAUCGACAAUACAUCGAUGUACCGACCUUGCUCUUAUGCAGCCAAGGUUAAAUAACAAUUUUGCACCAGAAUUUUAUAAGUUCAUGUUCUUUUGAGUAUUCAUGGGGGGAGUAUAUUUUUUGCAAGUUUGUGAUUUUUUUCUAAUUAUACGGUUAUUCCAGUAUCCUGUUUCGAUAUAUCAUUGACAUGAAAAUAUCGCCUAUACAUCGAUAUCAAAAUUAGCGAUGGCAGCUUUACUUGUUCAUCUAUUGAUAUUUUUGUACUGGUAUAUAUAUAUAAGUUUAAUUCAUUACUCCUAUAUAAAGGUUAUUGACCUGUAUUCAUGUGGUAACUUUAUACUCUUACACUAUGAAUAAGUAUUUUCCAAAUGACAUACUAAUGGAUCACAUUAAGAUAUAAUUUUGUUUCGGUCAAAUGAUAAAUUACAAUUGUGGCAAUUAAAUUAUGUACAUCAAGAGAUAUAUUCUUUGUAUAAUAAUUAUAGAAGUAAGAAAGUUUUCUCUUCUUUUUUUUCAUAAGCAACUAGAUAAAGACCUAUAUGUUUUUUACAAAAAUUGUGGAAAAUCAGAAAUAGGACUGGCGUCAUCCUUGUAAGUUCAGAACCUUAUUUCUCAGGAUUUUUCUCUCAAAAAAAAAAAAAAAAAAAAAUACACCCCAUAUACCCCUGAAUAAACACUCCAGGAGCAUUACAUUUGGCGAAGUGCUUGAAGUCCCUAUUUAGGUGCCAACUUUAAAAAAAAUACAAAUUUCAAAAUGAAUACAAGGAUAAUCCCAGCUUCUAAUGAAUCUUAACCAUUUACCAAACUAAGCGGACUAAAAAUCUCUAUGGCAUAUGGCAAAUAUGGGUGGGCAUUUAGUAGGAGGAAUAUGUUACAUAAAUAUACUACUGUAAGCUACCGGUACCAUAAUUAUAUACUUGGUUCAAGCAACACUCCUUUUUAUUUUACAAAAUUCAGUAGGAACAGAUAGUAUUACGACUAUGUUAUACAAUCCUUAUUUGUCAUAUAAAAUUAGUUAUCACUAGCCAUGAUUCCUGACAAUGUGGUAUUUGAUGAUUUGUAGUUAUUUCAUAUAUGGAGAAGAAUUUAUAUAAGUUUUAAAUAACUUGUUUUCCGAUUCCAUUAAUUUCAUGCAUCUAUUGUUGUAUACCAUGUAUGUCAAACUUGCUGAAAUAAAGUUUAAAUCAAGCUAGUACAAUAUCUAAAACUAUGAAGCAUAUUUUAGUUAUGGAUAUCCAAAGCAAGUCAUUUAUUUUGACCUUCCCUUUGACUUUUAUCUGUUCAAAUUUUAUUUGUUUUUGUUCCUUUUGUAGCCAGUAAGCAAGAUAAUGUAAUAUGUAUAUAUCACAACAGAUGUAAUUUUAUUUAAAUGAAUUCAAUUUGCGAUUUCUCUGUUAAAUUAAUUUCACAGUUCCAUUAUUUGAUGAAUGCAAUGUGUUACUAUUGAGUGAAUUUGAUGUGACAUUGUUAGGUAAUUUCAUAGUUCCAUUAUUUAAUGUUUGCAAUGUGCUAUUAUUGAGUGAUUUCAAUAGAAAUUAGAAAUUGGAUGUGCCAUUGUUUAUUUAACUUCAUAGUUCCAUUAUUUGAUGAUUGCAAUAUGCUACUCUAGAGUGAAUUUUUUUUUGUUUGUUUUGGGUUUAACGCCGUUUUUCAACAGUAUUUCAGUCAUGUAACGGCGGGCAGUUAACCUAACCAGUGUUCCUGGAUUCUGUACCAGUACAAACCUGUUCUCCGCAAGUAACUGCCAACUUCCCCACAUGAAUCAGAGGUGGAGAACUAAUGAUUUCAGACACAAUGUCGUUUAUCAAAUAGUCACGGAGAACAUACGCCCCGCCCGAGGAUCGAACUCACGAUCCCGCGAUCCGUAGACCGACGCUCUACCUACUGAGCUAAGCGGGCGGGCUCUAGAGUGAAUUGGAUGUGCCCUUGUUUAGUUUAUUUCAUAGUUCCAUUCAUCUAACGAAUGCAGUGUGCUACUUUUUGGUGAACACGAUGUGCCAUGGUUUAGUUAAUUUCAUAGUUUCAUUAUUAGAUGCUUGCAAUAUGCUACUAUAGAGUGAAUUCGAUGUGCCAUAUAUAAAAACAACACUUGUUCAGAUUGUCCUAUUUAUCUAGUGUAUUCAUUGUGCUAUUAUUUUAGCAAAUAUAGAUUAUAAUAUAUUACACAAUUAUUUAAUGAUUUCAACAUGCCAUCAUUCAUUUGUGAAUUCUAUGUGCCAUAGUUAUUGUUUAUAUUUCCAUUAUAUUUCAAAGAUACUGUGUAACAAAGUUACAAAAUGUAGUACUCUGUAACACUUAACUUUAGCGGUAUUUUUAUUACGGCACUACUGGCAGACAAAGUCUGUUGUGCAAAAUAAUUCUCAACCAGUCUGUGAACAGUUGAAUUUGGACGUACCCACUACAGACUUAAAUCAAAACUGCGCCAAUAUGUGGAACUAAAUACUUUUCUUAAAACUGCCAAAUUCUGAUGUUAUACAGUAAAACUGCUGAAGAAUGCUUAUAUAUUGUUCUAAAUUAAAUGAAUUUCUAAAACAAACGCUGCACUAAAAAAAAAUUAUUAUUGUCACUCAAAAGGAGACACUCAGGAUUAUUUUUCAGAUAUUUGAAUGUAAGAAUUAUUUGCAAAUAUGUUCUUUUCAAUAUAGAUAUAAAUUUUUCUUCAUGUUUAUUGGCUUUAUUUGGUGAUAGUUUUUAGGAGUUUAAGUUCAAUCCAUAGUAAACGCUAGAAACUUAUGACUUGAAUUUUUAAAGUUACUUCCUUUGCAAAGUGAUUUAUAAAUCAAAGACCUUGAAGCUCUAUCAAUAGUUAUAUAUGCAUUAUCAUAUCCCAACCACUUAAUAUACUACUUCAAGAGAUCUAACCUGCAUAUAUAUUUCAUUGAUGGAGCUUCAAACACCUGUGGUAUAAAUAUAUCAUUUUAUGUAAGACUUAGCACUUACAUAAGCUAGCAGGGAAAUAAAAUGUAAUUCCAUAUCAUACUGUGUAUUCUACAAAAUAAUUUAUAUUCCACUAGUUAAUCAUUUGAAACACAUUACCAUGCUUAGAAAUUAACUGCAUCCAGAGUUUAAAUUCUGAAAUUAAGUUGAAUUUUCUAUUGUAUGUUUUCUGCUUAAUUUAAAAGAAUACUUAGUAUGGUAUAUUGUGAAAACCUUCAACUUUUGGGGGCAUUAAAUCACUCUGGCUUAGGUGGAAAUAACUAUUUUUGUGGGUAUAUAAAUAUCAAGACUUUAUUUUUUAAAGAUAUUAAUAUGAAUGGAAAUUUCAUGUGUUUGCUGGGAUUUAAUUUUGGUGGAUUGACACCAGGAAAUUAAUAUUAAUGAUUUCAUGAAAACUAA